GAUGAAGAACGUAGAGAAAUGCGAUAAGUAGUGUGAAUUGCAGAAUUCAGUGAAUCAUCGAAUCUUUGAACGCACAUUGCGCCCCUUGGUAUUCCAUGGGGCAUGCCUGUUCGAGCGUCAUUUGUACCUUCAAGCUCUGCUUGGUGUUGGGUGUUUGUCUCGCCUCUGCGUGUAGACUCGCCUCAAAACAAUUGGCAGCCGGCGUAUUGAUUUCGGAGCGCAGUACAUCUCGCGCUUUGCACUCAUAACGACGACGUCCAAAAGUACAUUUUUACACUCUUGACCUCGGAUCAGGUAGGGAUACCCGCUGAACUUAAGCAUAUCAAUAAGCGGAGGA
rnacentral:misc_RNA from 1 species